GCCCCACGACCCCAGGCUCAGCCACGUCAACCCUCCUAAAACCCUCCUAGCACGGCGGGGGGGGGCUGCAGGGGCUUCGUGAGCGUGCCGAGACAGCCGGCCUCGCUGCACCGGUGUGCCGCCGAUGCUUCUGUUUAAUGUAUAAAUACGUGUAUUUAAAGAGAAAAAGCUGCGUGUAUAAAUCCUACUCAUUUUGCAUACAUUAUUUCUAUGGUGUAAAUUUAUAGCUGACAUUCUAAUGGGAUGUUUAAAAAAAAUCCUGUAGAUACUUACCUGUGGUCAAUGCAAGUCUGAGAACAAAUGUUUAAUUUUUUCUAAUUCUUUAGACUCGGUUACAAGACUAAUGUAAAAAACAAGAAUAUUUAUUUUUGUAACGGUCCUGGAAACACUGAUGCAUCAAAAAGAGUUGUUUCUGCUUAUAAAAGGGCUGUCGUAGAGGGGCAAGCGCUGAUGAAUUCCCACCCUUCGGUGGGGUUUGUGUGCUCUGGUGUGCGGCGGGUGCUGCAGAAGCAGCAAGAAGCAGGAGGUAGGGUGCACGGUGUGACCGCAUGCUAGUUUUGCUUCAACCCAGUGGCUAAGCCAUAACUCACCACAAUACUAUAUAUAUAUAUAUGUUAUAUAUAUAUAUAAAAAUCAGGAGGCUAUUCUCAUUUUUUUCCUGUUUACCUAGCAAAAAAAAAAUGGCUUAACUAUCCGUUGCAAUGUUCCGAGGGAUCAGCCUGGGAACAGCCAGCCCAGUCCCUGCAGGCUGUCACAGGUGGCACAGUUUUGGAUAAAGGCCAGCUGGAAAUAAAAACCGAACACAUGCGCUGUAUUUGGCUGUGGAUGUGGGGCUUUACCCCACCUGGGGUGUCAGAAAGCAAUCCUAAAUCCUGGGGCCACCCAAGGUCCCUGGAGCACCGCGGGCACCCCAGGGCAGCUCGUCCCUCCUGCAGCUCCUGGAAUAAACUUAGAAAAAUGUAACUUUCGGAAGGAAAUAUCUGUGCUUCGACGCAGACACAAAAGGCCAUGGGAACACAGGAACAGGCGGGAGCCGGGUGGGUGCAAUACUUCAGGUUUACUGGCAAACGACCCCGUUGCAUGUUACACGUCCACUAACAGCUUCAUCCUCUAAAUAUGGACUAAAUCCAUAUAUCAUGCAUUAAAGCAAAACCAAGUAUUCCAACAACUGGUAGGAUAUAUUUAUCCCCUGUUAACCCCCUUUUUACUUCAGCCUAUAUAAACACGUUUUUAUUUCCCGAGUGAGGGACCUGUCAUCUCUCAAGGUCAGCUCGUGCAUGGGUUUUUAUCAGCCAUGGCAGAUAAAAAUCACCUCUUUCCCUCUCUGAGACCUAAUUUUGUGACAUGUUCUUCUGGGAUGCACUGUAGACAGCCAACUGGAGAUGUUUUUGUACGAUUAUUGUGAAGAUGCUUCACAUUUCUGUAAAGACAAAUCGAAAUAAAAGCGCUGCAUGCAGCAACAAU